ensembl:lncRNA
UGCCCAUUGUUUCCCCGUGCCUAGCACAGUGGUGUGCAACUCAAAACUUUUAUUCAGUGGAUGGAUGGAUGAAUGGAUUGAUGACUACACAUUUGUGAGGAAGGUGUGGAAUCCAGUGGAAGGUGCAGCACAAGCAUGAAAGGGACGACUCUAGGCAACAGUUGUCGACUUGCAUAUCAAGUGGGUCGGAACAGAAGCAGUUAGUUUCCGUAAGGCAGAAGGACUGUAUUCCGUCAGCUGCUGUGUUGUGAGCUGCCCUAAGGAGAGGUCUUCCUGACAAGGAACUCAGGUAGCCUUCAGCCAGCAACCAGCAAGAAGCUGAGACUUGCAGCCCGACAGCCUUCAAGGAAAUUUAUCCUGCAAAUAACCACAUGAGUGAGUCUGGGGUUGGAUCCCACCCUGUCUGCCAGGCCUGGACAUGACCACAGCUCCUGGUUAACACAUUGGCUGCAGUCUGUGAGGGAUCUUGAAGCAGAGAACCUAGAGGCUAUGCAAGGCAACCACCUGUGACCACUAGACCAAAUCUUCCUGGACUACUGAGAUUUAUUAGAAGAACACCUUUCUGCAGUGUCAACAAAUCUUGAAUCUCUGCUGUACACUGUGACUCGUGUGUAAAGUCUGUAUCCUGAUGGCGGACCCAAAGUUUCAGCAAGUUACAACAUCAGAGUCUGCUGCAAUGUGGCCAAAAAUAAGCCACAUUCCACACCAUGUCCAGAUGCUUUGAAGAAAUCUAAAAUGACUUUUUAAAGAUCGCUUUAGAUAAAUAAAACUUGAGCUAGCAAAAGAAGCCCUUUCCAGAUGUCCAGCC